GGUGCCCAGGCAGCCUUGCCACCCCCACCCCACUGUAAAAGGUCUGGUUAUGCCCCCGUCAGACAGAACGGGCAGGUGCCCAGGCAGCCUUGCCACCCCCACCCCACUGUAAAAGGUCUGGUUAUGCCCCCGUCAGACAGAACGGGCAGGUGCCCAGGCAGCC